rnacentral:rRNA from 1 species
AUUGAACGCUGGCGGCGCGCUUAACACAUGCAAGUCGAGCGAGAACCAGUCCUUCGGGACUGGGGACAGCGGCGAACGGGUGAGUAACACGUGAGUAAUCCACCCUCGGCAUCGGGAUAGCCCGGGGAAACCCGGAUUAAUACCGAAUGGCCCAUUUGUCCUUCGGGAAUAAGUGGAAAAGGUAGCUUCGGCCUCCGGCCGGGGACGAGCUCGCGGCGGAUUAGCUUGUUGGCGGGGUAACGGCCCACCAAGGCGACGAUCCGUAGCUGGCCUGAGAGGACGAUCAGCCACACUGGGACUGAGACACGGCCCAGACUCCGACGGGAGGCAGCAGUGGGGAAUCUUGCGCAAUGGGCGAAAGCCUGACGCAGCGACGCCGCGUGAGGGAAGAAGGCCUUCGGGUUGUAAACCUCUUUCAGGAGGGACGAAGCCACUCGGGUGAAUAGCCCAGAGGGUGACGGUACCUCCAGAAGAAGCCCCGGCUAACUACGUGCCAGCAGCCGCGGUAACAC